rnacentral:rRNA from 1 species
UACAGAGGUCUCAAGCGUUGUUCGGAUUCAUUGGGCGUAAAGGGUGCGUAGGCGGCGCGGUAAGUCGGGUGUGAAAUCUUGGAGCUUAACUCCGAAACUGCAUUCGAUACUGCCGUGCUUGAGGACUGGAGAGGAGACUGGAAUUUACGGUGUAGCGGUGAAAUGCGUAGAUAUCGUAAGGAAGACCAGUGGCGAAGGCGGUUCUCUGGGCCUUACCUGACGCUGAGGAGCGAAAGCGUGGGGGAGCGAACAGG